rnacentral:rRNA from 1 species
UUGACAUCCAGCGAACUUGGCAGAGAUGCCUUGGUGCCUUCGGGAACGCUGAGACAGGUGCUGCAUGGCUGUCGUCAGCUCGUGUUGUGAAAUGUUGGGUUAAGUCCGCAACGAGCGCAACCCUUAUCCUUUGUUGCCAGCGAUUCGGUCGGGAACUCAAAGGAGACUGCCGGUGAUAAACCGGAGGAAGGUGGGGAUGACGUCAAGUCAUCAUGGCCCUUACGAGUAGGGCUACACACGUGCUACAAUGGCGCAUACAAAGGGAAGCGACCUCGCGAGAGCAAGCGGACCUCAUAAAGUGCGUCGUAGUCCGGAUCGGAGUCUGCAACUCGACUCCGUGAAGUCGGAAUCGCUAGUAAUCGUGGAUCAGAAUGCCACGGUGAAUACGUUCCCGGGCCUUGUACACACCGCCCGUCACACCAUGGGAGUGGGUUGCAAAAGAAGUAGGUAGCUUAACCCUCGGGAGGGCGCUUACCACUUUGUGAUUCAUGACUGGGGUGAAGUCGUAACAAGGUAAGCGUAGCGAG